GUAGAAGUGGCUCAGUGGUUAAGAGCACUGGCUUCUCUUCCAGGUGGCCCUGAGUUCAAUUCUCAGAAACCACA
rnacentral:tRNA from 1 species